rnacentral:rRNA from 1 species
GACGAACCACCCAAACGUUAUUCGGAAUCACUGGGCUUAAAGCGUGCGUAGGCGGCCUUGAAAGUUAGGUGUGAAAUCCCACAGCUCAACCGUGGAACUGCGCUUAAAACUACAAGGCUAGAGGGAUAUAGAGGUGAGCAGAACAGAUGGUGGAGCGGUGAAAUGCGUUGAUAUCAUCUGGAAUACCGGAGGCGAAGGCGGCUCACUGGGUAUCUUCUGACGCUGAGGUACGAAAGCUAGGGGAGCGAACGGG